UGUCACGGAGUGCACAAAGCGAACUAUUCUUUCGCCUUUUACUAAAGAAUACCUUGUGUUUGGCACUUUAAGUGGCAUAUGCUUAUUUUUGGAGGUUUCCUUCUUUAGAAGGGAC